CCCACACUGAAACGGUAGUAGAUCCACUGCGCCUUGGACCACACUUUCAAGUAUCCCUGGCUAGAUGACCCCUAGGGCCCCAACCAAUGCCGACAGUACAGGGGUGUUUCGUUUCCCAGUGAAGCCGCUUGCUCAGGCUACCUCAGUCACUGAGGGCUUAUUGUGGCGUAACUGGGGGCGUUUGGAGGCACAUCACUAGAGAUCCCUGGUAGCAGUGGCAUCUCAGUCAAUGAAAUGCCAUGCGGGCACAGGAUGCGUCUGACCCUGGGAACCGUCUUUCAUCCCUGUGCGGUUUGCCUAAAGCAUGGUCAGGCGGCUCUUCUUUUGCAGAUGUAGCUUUUCAAGAAUGCCUGGGCUCCUCUCUCAUACAUUUGAUUUCCACAGUCACAUCUUCUGGCUCUUCACCCAGUAGAAGAAAACAGGGAAGGGGUAUGCAUCUGUCAUUGUGGAUGGAGCCACUGAAAUAUGAAUUCCUUUCUGGCUCCUCUGGCCCCAGGUCAUCAAGGACAAUGGCAGAGGGCAAGUAGACAAUGGAAGUUAUCAAAAGAUAGCAGACCUCCAGCUAAAGGGCAAGAGGAGAUGUCAAUCACAUCAUUAGAAGUCAAAUCUGCCCACCUGGGGCCAAGGAUACUCAUGCAUCAGAUGACAAUUAGAUUCAUCUACAACAUCUUAAAUCAAAACCACUCUGGAUAUCCUACAUUUAGAAAAUAAAAAAGGAGAUGUUGGAACAUGGUCCAAGAACGGAGUCAUGUGAGAAGAAUUCUGAGUGCUUGUGAGAAAACUCCAGUCUUGUGAUCUCAGUUCCUUCAAAACACAGAAUUAGUCUUGGAAGGUGUUUUUGUGUUCCUCCCAGGUGUAGUGGACAGGAGUGAGUACCUCAGAUUAUUCAUUAUAACAGGCUAUUAUUGUUUGUUUGUUUGUCGCUAUGGAAAAACAUGUUUUUGCCACAUGCAGCUUGUUUUUUGUGAUUGUACAUUUUACUCAUGUGAUUCUUCUUAACGCUCAGAAUAUAAAUUGUCUGAUGCUCUGAAUAAAGGCUAC